rnacentral:rRNA from 1 species
ACGUAGGAGGCGAGCGUUGUCCGGAAUCAUUGGGCGUAAAGAGCGCGCAGGCGGCUUGGCAAGUCGGGUGUGAAAUCCCGAGGCUCAACCUCGGGUCUGCAGUCGAUACGAGCAAACUAGAGUGUUGCAGGGGAGACUGGAAUUCCUGGUGUAGCGGUGAAAUGCGCAGAUAUCAGGAGGAACACCGGUGGCGAAGGCGGGUCUCUGGGCAACAACUGACGCUGAGGAGCGAAAGCGUGGGGAGCGAACAGGA